rnacentral:misc_RNA from 1 species
CUAUAUGAAUUAUUAUUAUUAUUAUAUCAUUAUUAUUAUUAUUAUUAUUAUUAUAUUAUGAUUAUUAUUAUUAUUAUUAUAAUGAAUUAUUAAGGGCCUGCUGUUCUAGCACUGGAAAGUGGUACCUCCGGUGGGAUCUGCGGACCGUUCUUUCUUCCUCUUCUUCUUCUUGCUGCCGUAUCCGUAGUUAUCCCUGGCACUCCAGCCGGGGUAUCGUUGCUGAUGGAGAUGGCGCUCCUGCCUGGCCGCCUCAUAAUACCGCGCCUGCUCCUCCCGGCUUAGCGAGUGCCACUGCGUGUCUCGUCUUCCCAAUAUUUGGUUGAUCGCGGCGCUCUCUUUUAAGGUACACUCCGCCACGACCUUCGCCCUCAUCUCCUUCAUGUACAGCAUGAACGCGUUCAAAGGCUUUUUUAUAUGGGGUUUCUUUUUAUCUGUCAAACAUCAUCGACGGGUAUGAGAGGUGGCCUCU